rnacentral:rRNA from 1 species
AACGAACGCUGGCGGCAUGCCUAACACAUGCAGGUCGAACGAGACCUUCGGGUCUAGUGGCGCACGGGUGCGUAACGCGUGGGAACCUGCCCUUAGGUUCGGAAUAACUCCCCGAAAGGGGUGCUAAUACCGGAUAAUGUCUUCGGACCAAAGAUUUAUCGCCUUUGGAUGGGCCCGCGUUGGAUUAGCUAGUUGGUAGGGUAAAAGCCUACCAAGGCGACGAUCCAUAGCUGGUCUGAGAGGAUGAUCAGCCACACUGGGACUGAGACACGGCCCAGACUCCUACGGGAGGCAGCAGUGGGGAAUAUUGGACAAUGGGCGAAAGCCUGAUCCAGCAAUGCCGCGUGAGUGAUGAAGGCCUUAGGGUUGUAAAGCUCUUUUACCCGGGAUGAUAAUGACAGUACCGGGAGAAUAGGCUCCGGCUAACUCCGUG